GAUGAACGCUGGCGGCGUGCCUAAUACAUGCAAGUCGAGCGAACAGACGAGGAGCUUGCUCCUCUGACGUUAGCGGCGGACGGGUGAGUACCCGGGGGUAAACUACCUAUUAGACUGGGAUUAAUUCGGGAAACCGGGGGUAAUACCGGGUAAUAUUAUUAACCGGCAGGUUUCAUUAUGGAAAAAGGGUUUGCUGUCACCUAUAGAAUGGUCCGCGCCGCAUUAGCUAGUUGGUAAGGUAACGGCUUACCAAGGCAACGAUGCGUAGCCGACCUGAGAGGGUGAUCGGCCACACUGGAACUGAGACACGGUCCAGACUCCUACGGGAGGCAGCAGUAGGGAAUCUUCCGCAAUGGGCGAAAGCCUGACGGAGCAACGCCGCGUGAGUGAUGAAGGUCUUCGGAUCGUAAAACUCUGUUAUUAGGGAAGAACAAAUGUGUAAGUAACUAUGCACGUCUUGACGGUACCUAAUCAGAAAGCCACGGCUAACUACGUG
rnacentral:rRNA from 1 species